rnacentral:tRNA from 1 species
GACCGUGUAGCUCAGUUGGCAGAGCAUUGGGCUAGUAUUCCAAAGGUUGUAGGUUCGAUUCCCACCGUGGACA